AGAGUUUGAUCCUGGCUCAGGACGAACGCUGGCGGCGUGCUUAACACAUGCAAGUCGAACGCUGAAGCCCAGCUUGCUGGGUGGAUGAGUGGCGAACGGGUGAGUAACACGUGAGUAACCUGCCCCCUUCUUUGGGAUAACGCCCGGAAACGGGUGCUAAUACUGGAUAUUCACUGAUCUUCGCAUGGGGGUUGGUGGAAAGGUUUUUUCUGGUGGGGGAUGGGCUCGCGGCCUAUCAGCUUGUUGGUGGGGUGAUGGCCUACCAAGGCUUUGACGGGUAGCCGGCCUGAGAGGGUGACCGGUCACAUUGGGACUGAGAUACGGCCCAGACUCCUACGGGAGGCAGCAGUGGGGAAUAUUGCACAAUGGGCGAAAGCCUGAUGCAGCGACGCCGCGUGAGGGAUGACGGCCUUCGGGUUGUAAACCUCUGUUAGCAGGGAAGAAGAGAAAUUGACGGUACCUGCAGAGAAAGCGCCGGCUAACUACGUGCCAGCAGCCGCGGUAAUACGUAGGGCGCGAGCGUUGUCCGGAAUUAUUGGGCGUAAAGGGCUUGUAGGCGGUUGGUCGCGUCUGCCGUGAAAUCCUCUGGCUUAACUGGGGGCGUGCGGUGGGUACGGGCUGACUUGAGUGCGGUAGGGGAGACUGGAACUCCUGGUGUAGCGGUGGAAUGCGCAGAUAUCAGGAAGAACACCGGUGGCGAAGGCGGGUCUCUGGGCCGUUACUGACGCUGAGGAGCGAAAGCGUGGGGAGCGAACAGGAUUAGAUACCCUGGUAGUCCACGCUGUAAACGUUGGGCACUAGGUGUGGGGGCCACCCGUGGUUUCUGCGCCGUAGCUAACGCUUUAAGUGCCCCGCCUGGGGAGUACGGCCGCAAGGCUAAAACUCAAAGGAAUUGACGGGGGCCCGCACAAGCGGCGGAGCAUGCGGAUUAAUUCGAUGCAAC
rnacentral:rRNA from 1 species